rnacentral:rRNA from 1 species
UACGUAGGGUGCGAGCGUUAAUCGGAAUUACUGGGCGUAAAGCGCGUGUAGGCGGCCCGGAAAGUCGGAUGUGAAAGCCCUGGGCUUAACCUAGGAAGUGCAUUCGAAACUGCUGGGCUUGAGUUCUGGAGAGGAAGGCGGAAUUCUCGGUGUAGAGGUGAAAUUCGUAGAGAUGUGGAGGAACACCAGUGGCGAAGGCGACUCUUUGGCCUGUAACUGACACUGAGGCGCGAAAGCGUGGGAGCAACAGG